UCAUGGUAUGGCUGUAAAACCAUCCAUCAUGGUAUGGCUGUAAAACCAUCCAUCAUGGUAUGGCUGUAAAACCAUCCAUCAUGGUAUGGCUGUAAAACCAUCCAUCAUGGUAUGGCUGUAAAACCAUCCAUCAUGGUAUGGCUGUAAAACCAUGAAACAUAAAGUGGGCCAGGAAGGUUAUGUCUUAAGUUUAUUUCUGCUGCAUUUCAACAAUUCCGAUAUGUAUCACUCCGACAGGUCAGGGAUGUCCUUAGACAAACAUUUGGAAACCAUAACUUUUACUGUUUGUGAAGGAUGCUUAGUACUGGUCAUUCCUUGUACAAGGUUGCAAUCUGGAAAGGUUAUGUGUCACACCAGGUCAAGGUCACGGUGAAGUCAUUCCUUGUACAAGGUUACAAUCUGGAAAGGUUAUGUGUCACACCAGGUCAAGGUCACGGUGAAGUCAUUCCUUGUACAAGGUUACAAUCUGGAAAGGUUAUGUGUCACACCAGGUCAAGGUCACGGUGAAGUCAUUCCUUGUACAAGGUUACAAUCUGGAAAGGUUAUGUGUCACACCAGGUCAAGGUCACGGUUAAGUCAUUCCUUGUACAAGGUUACAAUCUGGAAAGGUUAUGUGUCACACCAGGUCAAGGUCACGGUGAAGUCAUUCCUUGUACAAGGUUACAAUCUGGAAAGGUUAUGUGUCACACCAGGUCAAGGUCACGGUUAAGUCAUUCCUUGUACAAGGUUACAAUCUGGAAAGGUUAUGUGUCACACCAGGUCAAGGUCACGGUUAAGUCAUUCCUUGUACAAGGUUACAAUCU